rnacentral:rRNA from 1 species
AUUGAACGCUGGCGGAAUGCUUUACACAUGCAAGUCGAGCGGCAGCGCGGGGCAACCUGGCGGCGAGCGGCGAACGGGUGAGUAAUGAAUCGGAACGUGUCCUGUCGUGGGGGAUAGCCCGGUGAAAACCGGAUUAAUACCGCAUACGAUCGAGAGAUGAAAGUGGGGGACCGCAAGGCCUCACGCGAUAGGAGCGGCCGAUAUCUGAUUAGCUAGUUGGUGGGGUAAAGGCCCACCAAGGCUUCGAUCAGUAGCUGGUCUGAGAGGAUGAUCAGCCACACUGGGACUGAGAACCGGCCCAGACUCCUACGGGAGGCAGCAGUGGGGAAUUUUGGACAAUGGGGGCAACCCUGAUCCAGCCAUUCCGCGUGAGUGAAGAAGGCCUUCGGGUUGUAAAGCUCUUUUGUCCGGGAAGAAACGGUUUUGGCUAAUAACCAAGACUACUGACGGUACCGGAAGAAUAAGGACCGGCUAACUACGUGCCAGCAGCCGCCGCAG